rnacentral:rRNA from 1 species
UACGUAUGGUGCAAGCGUUAUCCGGAUUUACUGGGUGUAAAGGGAGCGUAGACGGUUGUGUAAGUCUGAUGUGAAAGCCCGGGGCUCAACCCCGGGACUGCAUUGGAAACUAUGUAACUGGAGUGUCGGAGAGGUAAGCGGAAUUCCUAGUGUAGCGGUGAAAUGCGUAGAUAUUAGGAGGAACACCAGUGGCGAAGGCGGCUUACUGGACGAUCACUGACGUUGAGGCUCGAAAGCGUGGGGAGCAAACAGG